rnacentral:tRNA from 1 species
GCCUUCGUGGUGUAAUGGUAGCACAUUCAGCACGUAUUCAAGAGGUCCCAGCUUCGAGUCCUGGCCAAGGCA